GCCGCCCUGCGCUGGAUUCUGCGGCUCGCCCGGCUUCCCGCGCGGCGCGGGCGAUCGGGCGACGAGCUCGCGCGGUGCGUGUCCGCGGGCGUCGC
rnacentral:tRNA from 1 species